UUCGGGUUAAGUCCCGCAACGAGCGCAACCCUCGACCUUAGUUGCCAGCAUUCAGUUGGGCACUCUAAGGUGACUGCCGGCUAAAAGUCGGAGGAAGUGGGGAUGACGUCAAAUCAUCAUGCCCCUUAUGACCUGGGCUACACACGUGCUACAAUGGGCGGUACAAAGGGUCGCGAACCCGCGAGGGGGAGCCAAUCCCAAAAAGCCGCUCUCAGUUCGGAUUGCAGGCUGCAACUCGCCUGCAUGAAGCCGGAAUCGCUAGUAAUCGCGGAUCAGCAUGCCGCGGUGAAUACGUUCCCGGGCCUU
rnacentral:rRNA from 1 species